rnacentral:snRNA from 1 species
GGAUGUGAGGGCGAUCUGGCUGCGACAUCUGUCACCCCAUUGAUCGCCAGGGUUGAUUCGGCUGAUCUGGCUGGCUAGGCGGGUGUCCCCUUCUUCCCUCACCGCUCCAUGUGCGUCCCUCCCGAAACUGCGCGCUCGGUCGAAGAGGACGACCAUCCCCGAUAGAGGAGGACCGUUCUUUGGUCAAGGGUAUACGAGUAGCUGCGCUCCCCUGCUAGAACCUCCAAACAAGCUCUCAAGAUGUACAAGAUUAAAGCUAAAGAGAAGACUCUAAAGGGAGCAAGAGUAACAAGCAACACACGGGUGUCCUUAUUU